GGGGCAACGGGCCGGUCGCCGCCUCAUGGCGUCACUUCCGCUCCCCGCGCCGCCAUCUUAGCGUCGGGCAGGCGCCGCCAUGACGCGGAGGGACCCGCGGCCGCUGUGCCGCCUUGUGCUGGCCGCCGUGGUGCUGCUGUCGUGGGGCUACGUGCUGUACGGGGCGCGGGAGGCAGCGAGGAGGCUGCUGCAGGGCGGGACCGCGGUGCCCUGAGGGGAGGAGGAAGAGGAGGAGAGAGGCCGAAGGACGCCGCCCGAGGAGCUCUGAGGGGAGGAUAAAGCGCACGGGAGCCUUGUGCCUUCAGGGUAGCUGAGCGCUGUGACCACCCUGAACCGCUUUACUCGUAAGCGGCCACCAGAUGGAGAAGCGCACCGCAGCACCGCUCCCCAGCCCCGGCAGCGCUUCCCUCCCUGCCUGCCCCGCGGGUCUCCAGCAGCCUCCGGAGGCUCUCGGCUGCUCCCUAGAGUGCGAAGCAGAGCCCACAGCUCUGUGGAGCUCCAAGUAACCGGAGAAAUCCCAGAAACUUGAGGUUUAGAAUCAGCUCAGUUUCUCACGCUGGAGAAAAUCUUCACUCUGGCUCUUGUGCCCGACAGCUGUGUGUUGUUUUGAUGCUGAGGCUAUAGGGAUCAGUGUCCAGGAUUAAGAUCCUGAGACCUGGAUUGAAAGUAAUUUAAGAAAUUACUCAGCAGAUACCUAGUCUCAGGAGAAAAGAGAAUACGAGCUCAGUAUAUCAGCAGUAACAGUGUUAAAUUCAGUUCUUGUGCAGUUUUGAUGCUACUUGUCUCAUUUCUUUACAUGCUGACCUCUCCCCUCUAAAGAAGCUCCCUCUGAAGCUGCCCACUUUCAGUGCUACCACCUAUGUUGUCUGUUCCACCUCCCCUUCCCUUUCAAACUCUGCUUGGCUUGCUCUCCUGUCCUUGCCUGUGGAAAUCAAGGAGCAGCACGUGCAAAACCCCUCAGCUUGCACUGGGGGUGUCGCAGAAAGGGCCAGGACUCUCCUCACCCACAAAAAUGCAGUGAAGAUCAGAAAAUGUUUCCUGUCCAAAAUGGUAUAGCAAAUAAAAACCCUACUUUAAGCUUUAAGCAGCAUUAACCAUUCAGAUGCAAUCGCCAGGGAUGGCUGUUUUGCUAAUGCGUAUCAUCCCUAAAGGAACAUAUUCAUAAUGCCAAUGAAAUCCCCUUCAGAUCUUAUUAUGAUUAUGUUAAAUAAAGCUUAGCCUGUUUAUGACAGCAAAGCUUGUUUGUUAGUCACAAAGUGUUUUGUUUGUUGGUUUAGGUUUCAGGGGGUUGUUUGGGAAAAUUGUGAUCAGCGUGCUUUUGAUUAGCAUCGCUAAGAGGCACUUUAGCUUAAUGAAAUGAUUAAUUGAUUCAUCCAGGUAUGCAGCCACAAUAACAGCUGCUUCAACCGAUACAAAAGAUUCCCCUUCAAAUACGACCUUGCUUCACUAAUGUGAGGCAGUACCCAUGGAUACAUGUUAAUUAUAAGGUUGACAGGAAUAUGUAGGGAUAGCUAGUGCUGUAGCUGAAUUAUUGAAUGAAGGCUAAUGGAAGAAAGUCAAGAAAUGGAAACAAAAUAAUCAGCCAAACAGGAAACUGUGGGCUGAAUUCUACCUCAAAUCACCUUAAUCUACCAAUGAUAAUCAGUUUCUCUCGAAUUACAGCAGCAAGGAAGCUGGAACGUAAUGGCUUAAUUCCUGCAUUAUAGAUUGCUUGAAAAUGGAGGAAUUACACAAGUUCAAGCCACAGUGUAACAGAUCCCUGUUGUCUUAAUAAUAAGUAUUUGCUUUCUAUUUUCUUGCCUACUUUUUAUGCAACACUACCUGUAGCCUAAAAACUGUAUAAAUACGGAUUUUGGUAAAUAUACACAAGCUUAUAGCAUGGUAAAUGGAAGCCUAAAAACCUUUUAAAAUCCCAGUGGUGACUAUAUAUAAAAUGCCCGUAGUCCUAAAGACAGAACUUCAGAUUUUUGUGGUGAAAGAGAAAAAAAUAAUUGUAUGCAUGGUAUACCGUGAGACACAGAUUAAGGACAGGAGAGAGGAACAGCAAAUGGAAGACAACACUGAGACCAGCGGAGGGUGGCAUGUCAGAGGACCCUGUCUGAGAACAGAAGCCCAUGUUAUGAUGCCCCAGCCACUACAGGUGGCUCUCUGUAACACUGCCUCGCACGUGAAUGUAAUCAGCUAGAAUGAAGCAAAAGCAUGCAACAACCUCUGCAGAAGCUAGACGGCAGUGUUGGCAUAUGCUCCGAGACACAGGCAAGCUACUGCCUGUAUUUUACACAGUGGGCUCCAAUUGUGAGUCCUCCAUUUAGAGGAAUCAGGUUCGGACCUCCUCUUUUGUCAUCUGAAAUAAAAGUUGUUUAGGAUCGGUGAAACUUGAGACUGAAGACCAGCAAACACUCAGCUAAAGAGUGAAAGCAACAGCCAAAAGGUCAUAACCAGUGUUCCCCAAGCAUAAAGAAUUUAUCAUUCACGCUAACAGUAUAAAGUUAUUUUUUUUUGUGUGCAUGUUUUUUUGUUUGUUUUUUUGCCGUUCACAUUUCUGUAUGUCGGCAGAUUGCCUGAUUUACCAGUGACACACUGCCAAAUGAGCUUGUCAAUAAAGGAAAUGUGCAUUAUUGGAAA